rnacentral:lncRNA from 1 species
AGACACAGGGAGAGAGAGAAGAGGGAGGCACCAGGAUGCUUUCAGCAAUCAAUGUCAGGAAAACUGAUAGAGCAAGAAGUCACUCAUUGUCACAAGGACGGCACCAAGCCCUUUCUGAGGAAUCUGCCCCAUGACCCAAACACCUCCCACCAGGCCCUACCACCAACACAGGGGAUCACAGUUCAAUGUGCGAUUUGGAGGCAAAACAUAUACAAACUAUACUAGGAAGACAAACUGAUGUGAGGAUGAGGAGGAGUCAGAAAUAAACUCAUUCAACUAAUACUUGAGUAGCUACUGUUGCCUACAGUAUGUUCAAGGUUUUGCUAGUCAUCCAUAUGAUCACUAUUGACAGCUUGGGAGACUCACACAGGCUAGUGAAUUUCAGGAAUUAACAGAAACUGAACAGCUUCUAUAAUCCUGCAGGAAGUAACCUCUGGAUGGCACAAUGGAGUCUCACUCUGUUGCCCAGGCUGGAGUGCAAUGGCACAAUCUCAGCUCACCACAAGCUCCGCCUCCUGCGUUCAAGUGAUUCUCCUGCCUUAGCCUUCUGAGUAGCUGGUAUUACAGGUGCCUGCUACCAUGGCCAGCUAAGUUUUGUAUUUUUAGUAGAGACAGGGUUUCACCAUGUUGGCCAGGCUGUUCUCAAACUCCUGACCUCAAGUGAUCUGCCCGCCUAAGCCUCCCAAAGUGCUGGGAUUACAAGCAUGAGCCGCCGCACCCGGCCUCUGCUAAGUUUACAACCUGCAAAUUCUAUCCAAAAUAUAUACAUAUUUUCUUGUAUUUUUCAUUUAAUGCACCAAAAUAAAAAAAAAAUUGUUUUUCA